rnacentral:rRNA from 1 species
GUGAGGAAUAUUCCACAAUGGGGGAAACCCUGAUGGAGCGAUACCGCGUGCAGGAAGACGCUUUUCGGAGUGUAAACUGCUUUUAAUAGGGAAGAUUAUGACGGUACCUAUAGAAUAAGGACCGGCUAACUACGUGCCAGCAGCCGCGGUAAUACGUAGGGUCCAAGCGUUAUUCGGAAUUACUGGGCGUAAAGCGUACGUAGGCGGCUUGAUAAGUUGGAUGUGAAAUCCUGUGGCUCAACCACAUGGACUGUGUCCAAAACUAUCAGGCUAGAGCAUAGUAGAGGCAAGUGGAAUUUGCGGUGUAGGAGUGACAUCCGUAGAUAUCGCAAGGAACACCAAUGGCGAAGGCAGCUUGCUGGGCUAUUGCUGACGCUCAGGUACGAAAGCGUGGGGAGCGAACGGGAUUAGAUACCCGAGUAGUCC